GAUGAACGCUGGCGGCGUGCUUAACACAUGCAAGUCGAACGGGAAACCUUUUAUUGAAGCUUCGGCAGAUUUAGCUGGUUUCUAGUGGCGGACGGGUGAGUAACGCGUGGGUAACCUGCCUUAUACAGGGGGAUAACAACCAGAAAUGGUUGCUAAUACCGCAUAAGCGCACAGGACCGCAUGGUCCGGUGUGAAAAACUCCGGCGGUAUAAGAUGGACCCGCGUUGGAUUAGCUAGUUGGCAGGGUAACGGCCUACCAAGGCGACGAUCCAUAGCCGGCCUGAGAGGGUGAACGGCCACAUUGGGACUGAGACACGGCCCAGACUCCUACGGGAGGCAGCAGUGGGGAAUAUUGCACAAUGGGGGAAACCCUGAUGCAGCGACGCCGCGUGAAGGAAGAAGUAUCUCGGUAUGUAAACUUCUAUCAGCAGGGAAGAUAGUGACGGUACCUGACUAAGAAGCCCCGGCUAACUACGUG
rnacentral:rRNA from 1 species